rnacentral:rRNA from 1 species
CCUACGGGAGGCAGCAGUGGGGAAUCUUCCGCAAUGGGCGAAAGCCUGACGGAGCAACGCCGCGUGAUCGAAUGAAGGCCUUCGGGUUGUAAAGAUCUGUUGACAGGGACGAAUAAGCAAUGCGAAUAGUUUUGUGUAUGACGGUACCUGUUUAGAAAGCUCCGGCUAACUACGUGCCAGCAGCCGCGGUAAUACGUAGGGAGCAAGCGUUGUCCGGAAUUACUGGGCGUAAAGGGCGCGUAGGUGGGCGCUUAAGUCAGGUGUGAAAACUCCGGGCUCAACCUGGAGACUGCACUUGAAACUGGGUGUCUUGAGGGCAGGAGAGGAAAGUGGAAUUCCUAGUGUAGCGGUGAAAUGCGUAGAUAUUACGCAGAACUCCGAUUGCGAAGGCAGCAUACCGGCGCCCUACUGACGCUGAGGCACGAAAGCGUGGGUAUCGAACAGGAUUAGAUACCCUUGUAGUC